UGGGGAAUAUUGCACAAUGGAGGAAACUCUGAUGCAGCGACGCCGCGUGAGUGAAGAAGGUCUUCGGAUCGUAAAACUCUGUCCUUGGUGACGAAAAAAAUGACGGUAGCCAAGGAGGAAGCCCCGGCUAACUACGUGCCAGCAGCCGCGGUAAUACGUAGGGGGCGAGCGUUGUCCGGAUUUACUGGGCGUAAAGGGUGAGUAGGCGGUAAUAUGUGUCAGAUGUAAAAGGCUAUGGCUUAACCAUAGUUAGCAUUUGAAACUGUAUUACUUGAGUGCAGGAGAGGUAAGUGGAAUACCUAGUGUAGCGGUGAAAUGCGUAGAUAUUAGGAGGAACACCAGUGGCGAAGGCGACUUACUGGACUGUAACUGACGCUGAGUCACGAAAGCGUGGGUAGCAAACA
rnacentral:rRNA from 1 species